rnacentral:tRNA from 1 species
UCCCAGGUGGCACAGUAGUGAAGAACCUGCCUGCAAUGCAGGAGACUCGGGUUCAAUCCCUGGGUUGGGAA